CAGUCGCCGCGGGAACACGUAGGUGGCAAGCGUUGUCCGGAAUUAUUGGGCGUAAAGGGCUCGCAGGCGGUUUCUUAAGUCUGAUGUGAAAGCCCCCGGCUCAACCGGGGAGGGUCAUUGGAAACUGGGAAACUUGAGUGCAGAAGAGGAGAGUGGAAUUCCACGUGUAGCGGUGAAAUGCGUAGAGAUGUGGAGGAACACCAGUGGCGAAGGCGACUCUCUGGUCUGUAACUGACGCUGAGGAGCGAAAGCGUGGGGAGCGAACAGGAUUAGAUACCCCAGUAGUCCCUGUCUCUUAUAC
rnacentral:rRNA from 1 species